rnacentral:tRNA from 1 species
GAGAGAUGGCUCAGUUGGUAAAGAGCUUGUGUUCCAGGAACAAGGACCUGAGUUCAAAUCUCAGAACACUCA